CAAUAGCGUAUAUUAAAGUUGUUGCAGUUAAAAGCUCGUAGUUGGAUUUCUGGGAGAGUGGCGAUGUCCGCUUAACGUGUGUGCAGCGACGCUCUUCCAUCCUUCUGUUAGCGUCUCUUGGCAUUCAUUUGCUGGUGGCGGGCUCAGAUAUUUUACCUUGAGAAAAUUAGAGUGUUUCAGGCAGGCUAGGCCGGAAUACAUUAGCAUGGAAUAAUGGAAUAGGACUACGGUCUCUUUGUUGGUUUGAGGGACUGCAGUAAUGAUUGAUAGGGAUAGUUGGGGGUGCUAGUAUUGACCGGCCAGAGGUGAAAUUCUUGGAUUCGGUCAAGACUAACUUAUGCGAAAGCAUUCACCAAGGAUGUCUUCUUUAAUCAAGAACGAAAGUUGGGGGAUCGAAGACGAUCAGAUACCGU
rnacentral:rRNA from 1 species